GACGAACGCUGGCGGCGUGCUUAACACAUGCAAGUCGAACGGAAAGGCCCUGCUUUUGUGGGGUGCUCGAGUGGCGAACGGGUGAGUAACACGUGAGUAACCUGCCCUUGACUUUGGGAUAACUUCAGGUAACUGGGGCUAAUACCGGAUAGGAUCUCCUGCUGCAUGGUGGGGGUUGGAAAGUUUCGGCGGUUGGGGAUGGACUCGCGGCUUAUCAGCUUGUUGGUGGGGUAGUGGCUUACCAAGGCUUUGACGGGUAGCCGGCCUGAGAGGGUGAACGGCCACAUUGGGACUGCGAUACGGCCCAGACUCCUACGGGAGGCAGCAGUGGGGAAUAUUGCACAAUGGGCGGGAGCCUGAUGCAGCAACGCCGCGUGCGGGAUGACGGCCUUCGGGUUGUAAACCGCUUUCGCCUGUGACGAAGCGUGAGUGACGGUAAUGGGUAAAGAAGCACCGGCUAACUACGUG
rnacentral:rRNA from 1 species